GACGAACGCUGGCGGCGUGCUUAACACAUGCAAGUCGAACGGAAAGGCCCUGCUUGCAGGGUACUCGAGUGGCGAACGGGUGAGUAACACGUGGGUGAUCUGCCCUGCACUUCGGGAUAAGCUUGGGAAGCUGGGUCUAAUACCGGAUAGGAACCAUCUUUAGUGUGGUGGUUGGAAAGUUUUUUCGGUGUAGGAUGAGCUCGCGGCCUAUCAGCUUGUUGGUGGGGUAAUGGCCUACCAAGGCGGCGACGGGUAGCCGGCCUGAGAGGGUGUACGGCCACAUUGGGACUGAGAUACGGCCCAGACUCCUACGGGAGGCAGCAGUGGGGAAUAUUGCACAAUGGGCGCAAGCCUGAUGCAGCGACGCCGCGUGGGGGAUGAAGGCCUUCGGGUUGUAAACUCCUUUCGCUAGGGACGAAGCUUUGUUGUGACGGUACCUAGAUAAGAAGCACCGGCUAACUACGUG
rnacentral:rRNA from 1 species